CCUACGGGAGGCAGCAGUGGGGAAUAUUGCGCAAUGGGCGAAAGCCUGACGCAGCGACGCCGCGUGAGGGAUGAAGGUCUUCGGAUCGUAAACCUCUGUCAGCAGGGAAGAACGGUCACUGUGCUAAUCAGCAGUGAAUCGACGGUACCUGCAAAGGAAGCACCGGCUAACUACGUGCCAGAAGCCGCGGUAAUACGGAGGUUGCGAGCGUUAAUCGGAAUUACUGGGCGUAAAGCGCUCGUAGGCGGGAUGUCAAGUCAAAGGUGAAAUCCACGCGCUCAACGUGUGAACUGCCUUUGAAACUGGAGAACUGGAGUGUGUGAGAGGAUAGUGGAAUUCCAGGUGUAGGAGUGAAAUCCGUAGAUAUCUGGAGGAACAUCAGUGGCGAAGGCGACUAUCUGGAACAUAACUGACGCUGAGGAGCGAAAGCGUGGGUAGCAAACAGGAUUAGAUACCCGAGUAGUC
rnacentral:rRNA from 1 species